rnacentral:rRNA from 1 species
GCGGAGGAAAAGAAACCAACAGGGAUUGCCUUAGUAACGGCGAGUGAAGCGGCAAYAGCUCAAAUUUGAAAGCUGGCCCCUUCGGGGUCCGCGUUGUAAUUUGUAGAGGAUGGUUCGGCGAGGGCUCCCGUCUAAGUCCCUUGGAACAGGGCGUCAUAGAGGGUGAGAAUCCCGUAUGCGAUGGGCUGCCUUAGCCAUGUGAACCUCCUUCGACGAGUCGAGUUGUUUGGGAAUGCAGCUCUAAAUGGGAGGUAAAUUUCUUCUAAAGCUAAAUACCGGCCAGAGACCGAUAGCGCACAAGUAGAGUGAUCGAAAGAUGAAAAGCACUUUGGAAAGAGAGUUAAAAAGUACGUGAAAUUGUUGAAAGGGAAGCGCUUGCAGCCAGACUUGUCCGCAGUUGCUCAGCCUGUCUCCUGACAGGCGCACUCUUCUGCGGCCAGGCCAGCAUCAGUUCGGGCGGUCGGAUAAAGACUCGGGGAAUGUAGCUCCUCUCGGGGAGUGUUAUAGCCCCGGGUGCAAUGCGGCCAGCCUGGACUGAGGAU